rnacentral:lncRNA from 1 species
CCCGUGGCAUAUGGAGGUUCCCGGCUAGGGGUCGAAUUGGAGCUGUAGCUGCCAGCCUAUGCCAUGGCCACAGCAACACCAGAUCUGGGCCAAGUUUGUGACCUAUGCCACAGCUCAUGGCAAUGCCAGAUCCUCAACUCACUGAAUGAGGCCAAGGGUUGAACCUGUGUCCUCAUGGAUGCUGGUCAGAUUCAUUUCCACUGAGCCACAACGGGAACUCCUGUCUUUUACUGAUUAUAAAAAGGCAGGAAGAGCAGCAUAGUCUCACCUCCAUCUAAGCUUUAAUGAUGUAAUUACUUUGGAGUGUAAGAUCAUUGAAAACUUGCACAAAAUAAAAUAUAUUUUAUUUCAGUAAGGGCGAAAUCAUCUAAAUACUGUGUUGACUUCUUUCAAAAAAAUCAAAUAUCUUACUGAGAGCACAAAAAUAAACGUAAUGUUUUUAGAAGUCUUUGAUAAGAUUCUAUACUAAAAACACUUUAAAAACCAUCAUGGAAAAUAUUUAGUGGAUAAACAACUGCUCUAAAAGCACUAAGCAAAGGAUAAGAAUAAAUGGGCACUUGCAUGUAUAAUCAGCACAUUAAACAGGUACUAACUUGUGGAAUGUACACAGAAAAACAGUUUUACUUUUUUCUCUUCAGUUGCCCACUUACAUUUAUUCAGUGGAUCUGGCCUUUCCCCUGCUUCUCUGUAAGAACUUGGCUUUUCUUCUUACCCUUACAUGAGAGUUCACUCUGCUGGUUCACUUUGAGUCAUUCUUGAGAUAAAGAGGGAGGUAAUACUUCACAACUCUAUCUCUCUUUUUAAAAAAUUACUUCUACAAAUGUACAAUAUACCAUCAGUUUAUGCCCCUGAUGUCAGUGUUGUAACUCUACACUUCAUAAGUUCACAAUUCACUUAGGUACCUGGCACCUUAGGAUCUCAGCUGAAACUUCCACUUAAACAUUCCAUUCCACUGGAUAAAAGAUUUAAACAGCAGGAUACACCAAGGUUUGGAUCUAAGCCAUUCUUCUGAAACAGUUUGGUAAAUGAUUAAGAGGUGAGCAUAAGUAUGAAAUCUCCAAAAUGGCAUAAGACAUGAAACUUCCAAUUAGUAAAAUGACAAGUCAAUAGAAUAAACUGGAGAAUGAUGUAUGUCAGGUGAGUAGGCAGAGAAGUGGCAGAUGAAUGUUCAAGGACAAGAUUGAAGAUGCUUUCAGGACAAAAAUCUAAAUACCAUUGUUAGGGUAAUGGUCUCCAGGGUACCAGCCAUGACCUUCUGGAAAGAUGGCUUCAGAAAGGUACAAAUCUGCACAGAAAGUACAAUUCUUAUUUAUAGUUCUUAUGUUAUUGGAGCCUUUUACAUGAUUGAACUAAAGUUCUUUAUGUUCAUUAAAACCAUUCUUUUCAGUGAAGGAUAGGGUGCUUGAAUUUCAAAACUGUAUUUCAUACUGCAUUUUAUAGCAGGAUUUUACCUUCAGUCAAUAUUUCCAUAUAUAUUUGUACUAGAGACAAAGUCUUAAAACCUAAAUUUAAUACCAUUCAUCUAGAACUACUUAGAAGGUCUUUAUUAUGAAUAUGCUAAUAAAUUUUCCUGUUUUUAUAUAAAGAUGUGUGCAUCUCUUUAUCCAGACAUUUUCUCCCUAUUGUAUAUAUGUGUAUACAUUUGGUAAUACAAAUAUGUAAUUACUUGAGGUAUAAUUAAAAGUCUUCAGGAGACCCUCAAGAUCUUUUUUUACCCAUUGAAAGGGCAAGGCUUUGGAUAGCUGGUAACAAUCUCUGAUAACAAAAAUAAUUGCCCUUCAGACAGGAAUUAGAUAAGCAGCCUGUUUCUGCAAAAGUUGAACUGCAGCCAAUCUCAUACAAACUCAUUUCAUAAAUAUUUCUCUAUUCUAAAAAAAAAUUGAGAAGAUGGAUAGACUCAAAAAUUUCCAGGAAGGUACUGAGGAUUCUGCUUAGGAUUAUCUCAGGGGGAAGCUUCCAUCUGUUCUCUCUAAUAGUUUAACUUGCUUUUGCUUUGUUUCAUAUUUCUUUAUCAGUACUUUGGAGUUUCUGCAUGAGAGCAAAUAUUUUUUUCAUUCCCCCCUUUUAUUAAAAUACCACAUUUAUUUGAAAAACCAUUAUCCCGCUCUAUUGUUUACAGUAUUAUUUUAAGGUAGAAAAAAUAUUUUGUCACAAAGAAAUAUUACAUGACAUCUCUGUGGCUAUAUAAAUAUUUAUGUAACUUUUUAAAUGCCUUGAUUGAUUUGUUGUAGAUUGUCUGAUUCCAUCUGCUUUCUUUGUCUCCCGGAUAAACGCUCCUCAAUUCUUGUGUAACUUCUUGUUUAUUCCUGACCUUUGGCCCGUGAAGUUCACCUCUAAAAUAUUAUUGCCUUUAUGUAAUGAAGACACAAAACCUAACCAUCACCUAAGUGAUUUCAAUAUGAAGCAUAACUAAAACCAAUGUGAAUAAUUUUCAAAGUAAACAAAAACUGAAGAAAAUUCAAGAAAAAGAACUUGACAAAUCUCAGCAUUGGAACAAGCACAUAACUUCUUCUCUGCUGAAUUCUUGAAUAUAUGCGCUGUAUUAUGUAUUUACAAAAUUAUUCACACUAUUUAUACUCUCACUUCAUAUUUGGUAUUAAUAUGCUAUAUUGUUUUCUCUUUGGAGUUCGACAGCUCUUUGUUUUAAUAUUCACAUUAAUAGUUCUCAUAACAGAAGUGGGUAGAUUUAAAUUUUUAGCAUUCCCAUUGUGCUCAGUGGAAAUGAAUCCAACUAGGAGCCAUGAGGUUGUUGGUUCAAUCCCUGGCCUUGCUCAGUGGAUUGAGGAUCUGGUGUUGCCGUAAGCGUGCUGUAGGUCACAGAUGCAGCUCAGAUCUGGUGUUGCUGUGGCUGUGGUGUAGGUCGGCAGCUGUAGCUCUGAUUUGACCCUUAGCCUGAGAACCUCCAUAUGCCACAAAUGCGGCCAUAAAAAGCAAAAAAAAAAAAA